ACUCCUACGGGAGGCAGCAGUGGGGAAUUUUGGACAAUGGGCGAAAGCCUGAUCCAGCAAUGCCGCGUGUGUGAAGAAGGCCUUCGGGUUGUAAAGCACUUUUGUCCGGAAAGAAAUCCUUGGCUCUAAUACAGUCGGGGGAUGACGGUACCGGAAGAAUAAGCACCGGCUAACUACGUGCCAGCAGCCGCGGUAAUACGUAGGGUGCGAGCGUUAAUCGGAAUUACUGGGCGUAAAGCGUGCGCAGGCGGUUUGCUAAGACCGAUGUGAAAUCCCCGGGCUCAACCUGGGAACUGCAUUGGUGACUGGCAGGCUAGAGUAUGGCAGAGGGGGGUAGAAUUCCACGUGUAGCAGUGAAAUGCGUAGAGAUGUGGAGGAAUACCGAUGGCGAAGGCAGCCCCCUGGGCCAAUACUGACGCUCAUGCACGAAAGCGUGGGGAGCAAACAGGAUUAGAUACCCCUGUAGUCCCAUGA
rnacentral:rRNA from 1 species